rnacentral:rRNA from 1 species
AAUGGGCGAAAGCCUGACGCAGCGACGCCGCGUGAGGGAUGAAGGCUUUCGGGUCGUAAACCUCUGUCGGGAGGGAAGAACUGGUGGGGUGCUAAUCAGCUCCACUUUGACGGUACCUCCAAAGGAAGCACUGGCUAACUCCGUGCCAGCAGCCGCGGUAAUACGGAGGGUGCAAGCGUUAAUCGGAAUCACUGGGCGUAAAGCGCGCGUAGGCGGCUUGAUAAGUCAGGGGUGAGAUCCCACAGCUCACCUGUGGAACUGCCCUUGAUACUGUCUUGCUUGAGUGUGUGAGAGGAUGGUGGAAUUCCUGGUGUAGGAGUGAAAUCCGUAGAGAUCAGGAGGAAGAUCAGUGGCGAAGGCGACCAUCUGGCACAAUACUGACGCUGAGGUGCGAAAGCGUGGGUAGCAAA